GAAUAGAUUUCUCUGCAAACCUCCCCUCCUGAAUCACUAUGUUUUAUUAUUAUUUCACCACCCAAAGGAAAGAAAACCCCUUGAUUUUUAAUAUUCUGACUUUGGAAUACCUCCUGGUAUGGCUGGACAACAUUUGAGAGUAGCCAAGGAGANGCCAUCUGGUUCCUGCACUGAUGAUUAAUGACUGCCAUAGACUACAGGCUCCUGGAUGGCUUCCUGAUUAUUCAGCAUAUGCCCAUGUGGUAUGUGGAGAACACACGCUGGCUCCAGCCACUUGAAAACAAGGCUCUGAGUCAUCCAGCAAAGCUGUUCUCCUUCCACUUUCAAAAGGGAGUCAUCCUGCAACUGACAAAUGCUUCAUGCUUCCAAUCUGGAAUGCUUGCUUUCUUCUCCUCAAGAAAUGUAUGUAUUUAUGCCUAACCUUUCACUCUUUUAUUAACUAACAUCAUUCAAUUAUCACACAGUGAUUCCCCCCUGCAAUAUAAUAGUUCAAGAUGUUUUUACUUGGACCUUGAAUUAAAAAU
rnacentral:lncRNA from 1 species